CAGCAUAUAGUUUAAAAAUAAAAAUAUAGUAUUUGGGUUAUUAAGAUUUGAUUGCUGAU
rnacentral:tRNA from 1 species